rnacentral:tRNA from 1 species
GGGGUCGUAGCUCAGUUGGCAGAGCGUCUCGUUCGCAAUGAGAAGGUCAGGGGUUCGACUCCCUCGGCUCCACCA